rnacentral:rRNA from 1 species
UGCUCGAAGAUGGUUGAGAGUGGCGCACUGGGUGCGUAACGCGUGAGCAACCUACCUCUAUCAGGGGGAUAGCCUCUCGAAAGAGAGAUUAACACCGCAUAAUAUCAACAGUUCGCAUGUUCGGUUGAUUAAAUAUUUAUAGGAUAGAGAUGGGCUCGCGUGACAUUAGCUAGUUGGUAGGGUAACGGCCUACCAAGGCGACGAUGUCUAGGGGCUCUGAGAGGAGAAUCCCCCACACUGGUACUGAGACACGGACCAGACUCCUACGGGAGGCAGCAGUAAGGAAUAUUGGUCAAUGGGCGGAAGCCUGAACCAGCCAUGCCGCGUGCAGGAUGACUGCCCUAUGGGUUGUAAACUGCUUUUGUCCAGGAAUAAACCUAAAUACGUGUAUUUAGCUGAAUGUACUGGAAGAAUAAGGAUCGGCUAACUCCGUGCCAGCAGCCGCGGUAAUACGGAGGAUCCGAGCGUUAUCCGGAUUUAUUGGGUUUAAAGGGUGCGUAGGCGGCCUAUUAAGUCAGGGGUGAAAUACGGUGGCUCAACCAUCGCAGUGCCUUUGAUACUGAUGGGCUUGAAUCCAUUUGAAGUGGGCGGAAUAAGACAAGUAGCGGUGAAAUGCAUAGAUAUGUCUUAGAACUCCGAUUGCGAAGGCAGCUCACUAAGCUGGUAUUGACGCUGAUGCACGAAAGCGUGGGGAUCGAACAGGAUUAGAUACCCUGGUAGUCCACGCCCUAAACGAUGAUAACUCGAUGUUGGCGAUAGACAGCCAGCGUCCCAGCGAAAGCGUUAAGUUAUCCACCUGGGGAGUACGCCCGCAAGGGUGAAACUCAAGGAAUUGACGGGGGCCCGCACAAGCGGA